rnacentral:rRNA from 1 species
CCUACGGGUGACAGCAGUGAGGAAUAUUGGUCAAUGGGCGAGAGCCUGAACCAGCCAAGUCGCGUGAAGGAUGAAGGAUCUAUGGUUUGUAAACUUCUUUUAUAUGGGAAUAAAGUGAGGAACGUGUUCCUUUUUGUAUGUACCAUAUGAAUAAGCAUCGGCUAACUCCGUGCCAGCAGCCGCGGUAAUACGGAGGAUGCGAGCGUUAUCCGGAUUUAUUGGGUUUAAAGGGUGCGUAGGUGGUUAAUUAAGUCAGAGGUGAAAGUUUGUGGCUCAACCAUAAAAUUGCCGUUGAAACUGGUUGACUUGAGUAUAUUAGAGGUAGGCGGAAUGCGUGGUGUAGCGGUGAAAUGCAUGGAUAUCACGCAGAACUCCGAUUGCGAAGGCAGCUUACUAAACUAUAACUGACACUGAAGCACGAAAGCGUGGGGAGCAAACAGGAUUAGAUACCCGGGUAGUC